rnacentral:rRNA from 1 species
AUUGAACGCUGGCGGCAGGCCUAACACAUGCAAGUCGAACGGUAACAGGAAGCAGCUUGCUGCUUUGCUGACGAGUGGCGGACGGGUGAGUAAUGUCUGGGAAACUGCCUGAUGGAGGGGGAUAACUACUGGAAACGGUAGCUAAUACCGCAUAACGUCGCAAGACCAAAGAGGGGGACCUUCGGGCCUCUUGCCAUCGGAUGUGCCCAGAUGGGAUUAGCUAGUAGGUGGGGUAACGGCUCACCUAGGCGACCAUCCCUAGCUGGUCUGAGGGGAUGACCAGCCACACUGGAACUGGGACACGGACCAUGCGCCUACGGGAGGCAGCAGUGGGGAAUAUUGCACAAUGGGCGCAAGCCUUAUGCAGCCAUGCCGCGUGUAUGAAGAAGGCCUUCGGGUUGUAAAGUACUUUCAGCGGGGAGGAAGGGAGUAAAGUUAAUACCUUUGCUCAUUGACGUUACCCGCAGAAGAAGCACCGGCUAACUCCGUG